CGCAGGGUCCCGGUCGAGCUCGAUCCCGCGUGAACUCCGCCAGGUCCGGAAGGAAGCAACGGUAGCGAGGGGUCGGUUGCGAUCGGGGAAGCCCUGCGUUC
rnacentral:SRP_RNA from 1 species